AUUGAACGCUGGCGGCAUGCUUUACACAUGCAAGUCGAACGAGUGGCGAACGGGUGAUUAUUACUUGGGAACGUACUGAGUGAUGGGGGAAAACAAAGCGAAAGGUAGCCUAAACCCGCAUAUUAUGCGAGCGGCCGAAUAGUGAUUAGCUAGUUGGUGGGGUAAAGGCCUACCAAGGCGACGAUCAGUAGCGGGUCUGAGAGGACGAUCCGCCACACUGGGACUGAGACACGGCCCAGACUCCUACGGGAGGCAGCAGUGGGGAAUUUUGGACAAUGGGGGCAAGCCUGAUCCAGCCAUGCCGCGUGUAUGAAGAAGGCCUUCGGGUUGUAAAGUACUUUUGUUAGGGAAGCGGUACCUAAAGAAUAAGCACCGGCUAACUACGUGCCAGCAGCCGCGGUAAUUC
rnacentral:rRNA from 1 species